rnacentral:rRNA from 1 species
AUUGAACGCUGGCGGCAUGCCUUACACAUGCAAGUCGAACGGCAGCACGGGAGCAAUCCUGGUGGCGAGUGGCGAACGGGUGAGUAAAGUAUCGGAACGUGCCCAGUCGUGGGGGAUCACGUAGCGAAAGUUACGCUAAUACCGCAUACGAUCUAUGGAUGAAAGCGGGGGAUCGCAAGACCCCGCGCGAUUGGAGCGGCCGAUAUCAGAUUAGGUAGUGGGUGGGGUAAAGGCUCACCAAGCCGACGAUCUGUAGCUGGUCUGAGAGGACGACCAGCCACACUGGGACUGAGACACGGCCCAGACUCCUACGGGAGGCAGCAGAGGGGAAUUUUGGACAAUGGGCGAAAGCCUGAUCCAGCCAUGCCGCGUGCAGGAUGAAGGCCUUCGGGUUGUAAACUGCUUUUGUACGGAACGAAGAGGUUUGGCCUAAUAAGCUGAGCUCAUGACGGUACCGUAAGAAUAAGCACCGGCUAACUACGUGCCAGCCGCCGCCGUAACAC